AUUGAACGCUGGCGGCAGGCUUAACACAUGCAAGUCGGACGAGUGGCAGACGGGUGAGUAAUGCUUAGGCAUAGGGAUUAUGGAGGGGGGUAAGUACGGACAACUGUAGCUAAUACCGCAUACCGUAGGAUGAGCCCAAGUUGGAUUAGGUAGUUGGUGUGGUAAAGGCUCACCAAGCCGACGAUCCCUAGCUGGUCUGAGAGGAUGACCAGCCACACUGGGACUGAGACACGGCCCAGACUCCUACGGGAGGCAGCAGUGGGGAAUAGUGCGCAAUGGGGGCAACCUGACGCAGCCAUGCCGCGUGAAUGAAGAAGGCCUUCGGGUUGUAAAGUUCUUUCGUUAGCGAGGCGUUAACUACAGAAGAAGCACCGGCUAACUCCGUGCCAGCAGCCGCGGUAAUAC
rnacentral:rRNA from 1 species